rnacentral:ncRNA from 1 species
GAAAGAAGACCAGUUGAGGUUGACUCUGGCCUGGCCAAGUGAAGAGAUGUGAGGUGUCCCCUGUCGCUGUCCUUUGUUCACUGACUCAGUGAGUACAGGCUACCGCCAGGGACUUUCCCUUCUUGCCCCAUGUCCCAACUCCACGGGGUUGGGGGCGGGGGUCACAGUGCCAGAUGGGGUCUUUGGCUGGGGAGGGGUACCUGUCAAUGGGCAACGCAGGUAGGGUUGAAACUUCCCUGGAGCAGAAAGGUACAAGUCUGCUUGAUCUUGAUUUUCAGCAGGAAUGAACGCAGAGCCUGGUGAUCCUUCUGAUUUGGGGAUUUCAAGCAGGAGGUGUCAUAAAAAUUACCACGGGAUAACUGGCCUAAUCAGCACUUUUUGAUCCUGGACCACAACUCUCCCUAUCCUUGUGAGGCGGGGUUCACCAAGCCUUGGAUGAUUCACCCAAUAGCAAUAGGGAGCUUGAAUCCGGAGCAGGGAAGGCCAAGCCCCUCGGUUAAUGUCGGAACAGACACCCGGAGUCCAGCUACC